CCUACGGGAGGCAGCAGUGAGGAAUAUUGGUCAAUGGGCGCAAGCCUGAACCAGCCAUGCCGCGUGCAGGAUGACGGUCCUAUGGAUUGUAAACUGCUUUUAUACAGGAAGAAACACUCCCUCGUGAGGGAGCUUGACGGUACUGUAGGAAUAAGGAUCGGCUAACUCCGUGCCAGCAGCCGCGGUAAU
rnacentral:rRNA from 1 species